UACGAAGGGGGCUAGCGUUGUUCGGAUUUACUGGGCGUAAAGCGCACGUAGGCGGAUUGUUAAGUCAGGGGUGAAAUCCUGGAGCUCAACUCCAGAACUGCCUUUGAUACUGGCAAUCUAGAGUCCGGAAGAGGUGAGUGGAACUCCUAGUGUAGAGGUGGAAUUCGUAGAUAUUCGGAAGAACACCAGUGGCGAAGGCGACUUACUGGACACAUAUUGACGCUGAGGUGCGAAAGCGUGGGGAGCAAACAGG
rnacentral:rRNA from 1 species